rnacentral:rRNA from 1 species
AUUGAACGCUGGCGGCAGGCUUAACACAUGCAAGUCGAACGAUGACUCUCUAGCUUGCUAGAGAAGAUUAGUGGCGGACGGGUGAGUAACAUUUAGGAAUCUGCCUAGUAGUGGGGGAUAGCUCGGGGAAACUCGAAUUAAUACCGCAUACGACCUACGGGUGAAAGGGGGCGCAAGCUCUUGCUAUUAGAUGAGCCUAAAUCAGAUUAGCUAGUUGGUGGGGUAAAGGCCUACCAAGGCGACGAUCUGUAACUGGUCUGAGAGGAUGAUCAGUCACACCGGAACUGAGACACGGUCCGGACUCCUACGGGAGGCAGCAGUGGGGAAUAUUGGACAAUGGGGGCAACCCUGAUCCAGCCAUGCCGCGUGUGUGAAGAAGGCCUUUUGGUUGUAAAGCACUUUAAGCAGGGAGGAGAGGCUAAUGGUUAAUACCCAUUAGAUUAGACGUUACCUGCAGAAUAAGCACCGGCUAACUCUGUGCCAGCAGCCGCGGUAAUACAGAGGGUGCGAGCGUUAAUCGGAAUUACUGGGCGUAAAGCGAGUGUAGGUGGCUCAUUAAGUCACAUGUGAAAUCCCCGGGCUUAACCUGGGAACUGCAUGUGAUACUGGUGGUGCUAGAAUAUGUGAGAGGGAAGUAGAAUUCCAGGUGUAGCGGUGAAAUGCGUAGAGAUCUGGAGGAAUACCGAUGGCGAAGGCAGCUUCCUGGCACAAUAUUGACACUGAGAUUCGAAAGCGUGGGUAGCAAACAGGAUUAGAUACCCUGGUAGUCCACGCCGUAAACGAUGUCUACUAGCCGUUGGGGUCCUUGAGACUUUAGUGGCGCAGUUAACGCGAUAAGUAGACCGCCUGGGGAGUACGGCCGCAAGGUUAAAACUCAAAUGAAUUGACGGGGGCCCGCACAAGCGGUGGAGCAUGUGGUUUAAUUCGAUGCAACGCGAAGAACCUUACCUGGUCUUGACAUAGUGAGAAUCCUGCAGAGAUGCGGGAGUGCCUUCGGGAAUUCACAUACAGGUGCUGCAUGGCUGUCGUCAGCUCGUGUCGUGAGAUGUUGGGUUAAGUCCCGCAACGAGCGCAACCCUUUUCCUUAUUUGCCAGCGGGUUAAGCCGGGAACUUUAAGGAUACUGCCAGUGACAAACUGGAGGAAGGCGGGGACGACGUCAAGUCAUCAUGGCCCUUACGACCAGGGCUACACACGUGCUACAAUGGUAGGUACAGAGGGUUGCUACACAGCGAUGUGAUGCUAAUCUCAAAAAGCCUAUCGUAGUCCGGAUUGGAGUCUGCAACUCGACUCCAUGAAGUCGGAAUCGCUAGUAAUCGCAGAUCAGAAUGCUGCGGUGAAUACGUUCCCGGGCCU